rnacentral:rRNA from 1 species
UUAAACUAGGAUUAGAUACCCUAUUAUUUUUAUUAAAUUUAAAUUUAAUUAAAAUAUUAAAUGUUAAGCAUUAAAAAUAAAAAAUUUGGCGGUAUUUAAUAUUUAGAGGAACUUGUUUAUUAAAUUGAUAGUCCACGAAUGGAAGAACUUAAUAAUUGAUUUUUAUGUAUUGUUGUUGUAAAAUUAUAUUAAUAGAUAAUUAUUGAUAAAUUUAAUAAAAUUAUAAUUCAAAUCAAAAUGUAGAAUAAUUAAGAGUUUAAUGAGUUACAAUUAAUUAGAUAUUUGGAUUUUAAAAUAAUUUAAUUUAUAAAUGAAAAUGGAUUUAAAAGUAAAUUUGUAAAAAUUAUAGAUGAAUAUAGA